GACUGCCGGUGACAAACCGGAGGAAGGUGGGGAUGACGUCAAGUCAUCAUGGCCCUUACGGCCUGGGCUACACACGUGCUACAAUGGUCGGUACAGAGGGUUGCCAAGCCGCGAGGUGGAGCUAAUCUCACAAAACCGAUCGUAGUCCGGAUCGCAGUCUGCAACUCGACUGCGUGAAGUCGGAAUCGCUAGUAAUCGCGAAUCAGAAUGUCGCGGUGAAUACGUUCCCGGGCCUUGUACACACCGCCCGUCACACCAUGGGAGUGGGUUGCACCAGAAGUAG
rnacentral:rRNA from 1 species